UCUGGCAACAAGCUGGAGGCUGCAGCUGUGAAAGGCACACAGGAAGCAAUCAACAGGACUCCAAGAAUAUCAAAGGUACGUGACCCUGCUCCUGGGCUAGAGGCAGAGUCUUAACACACAGCUGGAUAUUCUAUAAACUUCUUGGCCUGACCCACUUCAAAUGUCACAGAUCCAGGGGAGUAAAAAAGACUGGAAGGAAGAAUCUGCUAUUGCAGGACACCCAAGAUAAGAAGACACUAAGAAAGCCAGCCUGACAGUAAUAGAAUU